rnacentral:tRNA from 1 species
GCGCCCAUAGCUCAGUUGGAUAGAGCGACUGUCUACGAAACAGUAGGCCACAGGUUCGAAUCCUGUUGGGCGCA